AACGCACAUUGCGCCCCUUGGUAUUCCGAGGGGCACGCCUGUUCGAGCGUCAUUUAAACCAUCAAGCCCUGCUUGGUCUUGGACGCGGUCGAGUGACCCGUCCGUAACCCGUUGGCGGUGCAGUCCGGCUUCAAGCGUAGCAAGAAUUUCGCUUCAGGAGUCCGUGGCGGCGUCUGCCAGGAAACACCACCCAAAGUUUGACCUCGGAUCAGGUGAGGAUACCCGCUGAACUUAA
rnacentral:misc_RNA from 1 species